rnacentral:rRNA from 1 species
GACGAACCGUGCGAACGUUAUUCGGAUUCACUGGGCUUAAAGGGCGCGUAGGCGGCAGUACGAGUCGGGGGUGAAAUCUUUCGGCCCAACCGGAAAACAGCUUCCGAUACCGUACUGCUUGAGGGAGAUAGGGGCACGCGGAACUUCCGGUGGAGCGGUGAAAUGCGUAGAUAUCGGAAGGAACGCCGGUGGCGAAAGCGGCGUGCUGGGUCUCUACUGACGCUGAGGCGCGAAAGCCAGGGGAGCGAACGGGAUUAGAUACCCCGGUAGUCCUGGCCCUAAACGAUGGGUACUAGGUAGUGGGCUUGCAUGGGCUCACUGCCGAAGCCAAAGUGUUAAGUACCCCGCCUGGGGAGUAUGGUCGCAAGGCUGAA